CCUACGGGGGACAGCAGUGGGGAAUAUUGCACAAUGGGGGGAACCCUGAUGCAGCGACGCCGCGUGAGUGAAGAAGUAUUUCGGUAUGUAAAGCUCUAUCAGCAGGGAAGAAGAUGACGGUACCUGACUAAGAAGCCCCGGCUAACUACGUGCCAGCAGCCGCGGUAAUACGUAGGGGGCAAGCGUUAUCCGGAUUUACUGGGUGUAAAGGGAGCGUAGACGGCAGGGCAAGUCUGGAGUGAAAGCCCGGGGCCCAACCCCGGGACUGCUUUGGAAACUGCCAUGCUGGAGUGCUGGAGAGGUAAGCGGAAUUCCUAGUGUAGCGGUGAAAUGCGUAGAUAUUAGGAGGAACACCAGUGGCGAAGGCGGGUUCCUGGACAUUAACUGACGCUGAGGCACGAAGGCCAGGGGAGCGAAAGGGAUUAGAUACCCUUGUAGUC
rnacentral:rRNA from 1 species